rnacentral:rRNA from 1 species
CAAUAGCGUAUAUUAAAGUUGUUGCAGUUAAAAAGCUCGUAGUUGGAUUUGUGGCGUACGGUGUGUUCCGGGCACUUGUUGUCUGAGUAACCUGCUGUUGCCAUCCUUGGGUGGAACCUGUGUGGCAUUAGGUUGUCGUGCAGGGGAUGCCCAUCAUUUACUGUGAAAAAAUUAGAGUGUUCAAAGCAGGCUUAUGCCGUUGAAUAUAUUAGCAUGGGAUAAUGAGAUAGGACUUUUUUGCUAUUUUGUUGGUUUGCGCAAAGAGGUAAUGAUUAAUAGGGACAGUUGGGGGUAUUCGUAUUCCAUUGUCAGAGGUGAAAUUCUUGGAUUUUUGGAAGACGAACCACUGCGAAAGCGUUUACCAAGGAUGUUUUCAUUAA